rnacentral:lncRNA from 1 species
UUUUUUUUUUUUUUUUUGGCUGGCCAGAAGUUCCUAGGCCAGGGAUUGAACUCAAGCCACAGCAGUGACCUGAGCCAUAGCAGUGACAAUGCUUGAUCUUUAGCCGGCAAGGCUACCAGGAAAUUCUUAUAGGUCAAAAUUACUGAAUAAAGUUUUGCCUUCUCUCUUCUAAAAUCAGUUUUCCUUAAGGGACUGUCAAAAUCUUAUACUUACAUUAUUGAAUCUUGAAAGUUGAUAUGCAUAAUAGUGUUCUUUUUCCUUUAAAAUACAUACCUAAUGAACUAGUUUGAAACAGCAUCUGAGCUAUCAAAUCCAGCCAGCAGUGGUAAACACUUUAAAGGGUUCUUCAAUUAAAAAAAAAAAAAAACCUGGUAAGUUAUAAUUCUAAUUAACAAGGUAAACCAGAAGAGGAUAACCUGUUACCAACCAUUAUCAAUUUAAAGGUGAUUAAUGCAUUGGACUAAUCUCUAGCAGAAUGAGACAGAGGGAAUAAAAUGAAGGACUGGCCAUUUUUUUUUUUUUUUUUGUCUUUUUGUCUUUUUUUUGGUUGUUGUUGUUGUUGUUGUUGCUAUUUCUUGGGCCGCUCCCGCGGCAUAUGGAGUGGCCCAAGAAAUGGCAAAAAGACAAAAAAUAAAAUAAAAAAUAAAAGUUAAUAGAGGGUGAAAAUUUUAAACUCAUCCAUUGACUAAGCCUCAGUUGCAAAUAUGAUCGAUUCUGUUACUAUUUCAAAUAAAUGUUAAAAGUACUAGUGUCCUUCUUUAUUCUCAUGUUAACAUUCUGUAGACAAAUGAAAACUCAAAUGCUUUGUAAAAGACAUAAUUUCAUUAAUCUUUACAUAGUCUCUCUAAGGUUUAUGUUUAAUACCUGUCUUUUUCCCUCUGUCCUUCAAAAUCCAAUGAGCCAUAAAAUCAUAAUUAAGAUAUAUUUGAUAACAGCCUCACACAUGUAUUACUCAAACUACUAGCUGGUGCAUCACAUUUCAAAAAGUUGGUCAGCUGGAAUCUGGAUUUAAGGUGAAUCAAUUAUAUGUCAAUUAUAUUUCAAUACUGCUGGGGGAGAAGAUGGAUCAACAAUGUUAGAACUAAGUCUGGCUAUUUAAUUUAUUUUAAAAAGAAAGAAGGAAAACGUUUUCUGAAUUUCAUACUCCUUAAGAUUUUGAAUAAAUUUGUUGACAGUUUCAAAUAAAGCUUAUCCUCAAGGUACUUUUAAGGGAGUUAGUUACCUAUCAGACAGAGAGUUUAAUGAAUUAAAGAACAGCAGCAAGAAAAGUGUAUGGUCCAGGCUUCGCAGUCACAAAAAACUCAAAAAGAGGGCAUACGUAUAGUCACAAGAGAGACACUGCUGACCAAGUUGAAAGAUAAGCCAUUCAUUACAGUGCACUGAGAAUAUUUUUAUAAAUUACACAAUCACCCUAUGAAUAACUUAAUUACACUGAUUUUCAUACUAGAAAAACUAACUUACUAAAUUAAGAUAGUUAAAAUAUUCAACAAUUUUUGUAACCUGUUUGGCAUUUCCUUCAUUUUUCAAAGUCACUGGAAACCAACGGUAUACCACAGGGUGGGGCAUGGUAGGAGUGUCCCACCCCAGCAGGGAGAAACAGUUUUAUCACUGGCAUUUUAAAAAACUGCUGGCAUAUGGUGAUAAUUAAAAGCAGAUCAAAUUUCAAUUUUAUUAUUAAAAAAAAUUCUCUUAACACUCCUUAUAGCCCUAGGCUGGACUUCCCCUCCAACCCCUGCUGGAAACCUCCAAAAAUGGAAAUAGCUAAGAUCUUGUCACAAUCCCUGGCAUACUCUGUGGUUACUUAUCAUUCUUAAGUGACUUCAUUGCUAUUUUCUUCUCUUCCUUUUAUUCCUCCUGUUCAUUUAAAUUUAAGCAUUUUACAAAGGAGAUAGUAAAGCCGAAUUUAGAUCUUACUGAAUUAUUAGGUUGGAAUAGGAGAAACAGAAACAACAUACUGCUCAUUUGGUAAAAUACUGCUCUCAGAACAUGAAUUAUAAUACUCAUGUGCUCAAAAUCCAAAACACUUUAAAAUGAAAAUAGAGCUUUUAGUUGCUAGAAAAAUGAGAAGUGAGCUCUUGGAAAUU